rnacentral:lncRNA from 1 species
CUUAAGGGAGCUCGGAAGUUGAGACGUGGUGAGUGCGAGAUCACUGCCCACAAAGGGGAGGAGCAGGCGGAUGAACAGCCAGAGCUGCAAUGGUGGAUCCUCCUCCAGGGCUGCAUGGGACGACAGAUAGAUGAGGCUCUAGGACGGGCACAAAUGCUACCCGAAUGCAAACCACUCCGGAGAUCUGUAAAAGGACUGGCCCCGGACAGGAAGCACACUUUAAACUAGAGGCGGGGAUUGAAGGGUUCUCCCUAUGCUGCUUUGAGCGCUGCUAUUGGGUGCCUUGAGGGGACCUCAAGUAAGCUCCAUUUUUGAAACAUGAUCUUCAUCCACAUCUUGAAGUUUGAAGUUUGGCCAAGAAUAUACAGAGUAGAUUCUCUUUCUCAGGAUGGCAAGUGUUCAUGACAUCAAUACUACCCAAGGCUUCAGAGUCAUUGGAUU